rnacentral:rRNA from 1 species
UACAAGAAGCCGAAAGGCUACUUCAAACCAUCGCGAACUCGUCCAAGUUGCUUCGGCGGCGCGGCACCGGGUCACCGGGCGCCGCAGCACCGGCCUCUGCGGAGGCGCGGGGCACCCGCCGGAGGUACGAAACUCUGUAUUAUAGUGGAAUCUCUGAGUGAAAAGCAAAUAAGUUAAAACUUUCAACAACGGAUCUCUUGGUUCUGGCAUCGAUGAAGAACGCAGCGAAAUGCGAUAAGUAAUGUGAAUUGCAGAAUUCAGUGAAUCAUCGAAUCUUUGAACGCACAUUGCGCCCGGUAGUACUCUACCGGGCAUGCCUGUCCGAGCGUCAUUUCAACCCUCAAGCCCUGCUUGGUGUUGGGGCCCUACGGCUGCCGUAGGCCCUGAAAGGAAGUGGCGGGCUCGCUACAACUCCGAGCGUAGUAAUCAUUAUCUCGCUAGGGAGGUGCGCGGCGCUCCUGCCCGUUAAGACCAUAUCUUUAACCAAGGUUGACCUCGGAUCAGGUAGGAAUACCCGCUGAACU